ACAAGGUGAACCAACCUGGCAUAAGCAAGGGAUCCUUGAGGAAUCUAUGACAAUGCCAGGAAGAGUAAUUGUGUUCUAGUGAAACUUUAGGAAUAUUUAUGUGAGUUAGUUAGAUAUGAGUUUAAUUUGAAAUUCAACUUUUGCAUAUAUGUCAUGGAUCCAACGGUGGUAAUGUAUAUACUGUCAGUGUUUAUAAGAUUACUCGUAUAAUUAAUGCAACAACAAUUUCUGAAGUUACAGUUAGUUUGUUUGGAUAGGAAGAUUUGCAAAAAAAAAAAUUCAAUUUUUUUUUGUACUUACAUUAUAAACACAAUUUUCAAUCAUCUUUUUAUCUCACAUAUAUCAUAUUACAAAAAGUGCUAUAGUAAUUAUUUCAAAUAAUCUCUUAUCCAAACAAAAUGACUUCAUAAACUGUAAAUUGAUUCACCUACCCAUUUUCAAAUAGUGAUUGAGAUGUUAAUUGCAGCUUAGGUGAUGUAUAGAUUUUAACUUGUGUUAUUUCACAUGGUGAAUGCUCAAAUCUGCAUCUUGUAUCUUUGUUGACAUGUGAUCCACACACACAUCCAAAUAACAAAUUGUAAAAUGGUUUUCCCUUGCGGCUUGGAUAAUUAAUGCAACAACAAUUUCUGAAGUUACAGUUAGUUUGUUUGGAUAGGAAGAUUUGCAAAAAAAAAAAAUUCAAUUUUUUUUUGUACUUACAUUGAAUUUUUUUUUGUACUUACAUUAUAGACAUAAUUUCCAAUCAUCUUUUUAUCUCACAAUUUUUUUUUUUACUUACAUUAUAAACACAAUUUCCAAUCAUCUUUUUAUCUCACAUAUAUCAUAUUACAAAAAGUGCUAUAGUAAUUAUUUCAAAUAAUCUCUUAUCCAAACAAAAUGACGUCAUAAACUGUAAAUUGAUUCACCUACCCAUUUUCAAAUAGUGAUUGAGAUGUUAAUUGCAGCUUAGGUGAUGUAUAGAUUUUAACUUGUGUUAUUUCACAUGGUGAAUGCUCAAAUCUGCAUCUUGUAUCUUUGUUGACAUGUGAUCCACACACACAUCCAAAUAACAAAUUGUAAAAUGGUUUUCCCUUACGGCUUGGUAUGCCUACUAGGUUACUUGGUUGUUUAUGCAUAACGUGUAAUCUUAAUUACUAUAUCUUCUUAAAGUUCAAAAAUUUUGGCCAAAACUUGGCCGCUGACUUUUAGAAAAGAUUACGGGUGCGUUUGGAUUCCCUGUUUUUGGGGGUGUUUUUGAAAAACAAUACUGUAGCAGUUUUUUAAAAACACGCAUUGUCGUUUGGAUUGUUGUUUUUGAAAAACUCAUAUUUUUUGAAAAACACAUGCGUUUGGAUUGAGCUGUUUUUUAAAAACAGCUUCGUUUGGAUUAGCUGUUUUUGGGGGAUUUUUUUAAAAUAAAACUGUACUGUAACAGAGUUUUUAGAGCAUAUUUUGGAUUGGCUCUUGGGAAAUAUUUUGAUGUACAAUUAAGAAUAGAAAAGUUUUUAGAAAAUAUUUUGAGAUACAUUAUUGAAAAUUUUUUUAAAAAAAUAAAACUAAUUUUUGGAUUACCUUUUAUAGUCCUUUUUAAAAAUUUUUAUUGUAUUUCAAAAACUAGUUUAUGUGUAACACCCCCAAAACAGGGGAUCUAAGGGUCCAAAUGUGUAAUUGGCCAAUACGUUCGCUAUCUUUGCAAAAUAAUGGCCAUUAAAUUAUGUCCCCUCCCGGAAUUUCCUAAAGUAGUUGGCAAACUUUCUACCAAAUUUAAACGAAGUAAAAAAUGUGCCUAGAACUUAACUCGGUCAUGAGUUAAGCGUACGGCACCAUUCACAAACUCACGUCAACUAAACCGGCAAACUGAAUACUUACUGAGGUUGUAGAGCAAAGUAUGAGUCCGCAGAUUUCAUACAAAGGUGCAAAUCCCUGGAUACAUGGGUACAACACAAUUAACUGGAGCCCAAUGAUUUUGUAAUCCCUCAAUCACCAGGAAUGUGAAUUAAACAUUUAAGUACAAAUCGGAAGCUGAUUUAACACACUUUUGGUCCUAGGCCAAGCACUAGAGUCUAGUUAUUAGCAUUCACAUACAUGUGCGCUGCCAUUGCCCGCCGAUCUUCAUUCCAGUUAUCUAUGCCCUGCUGCGACAUAUCGAUAGGUUGACCCAUCUGCACUUGUUCCCCUGCUAUGUGUGCAUCAGCAAAGGCACCAUUUAUCGCUUCUUCAUUGAAGUACUCAUCAUUCGGCACAUAAUCGCGCAUAAAAUUGUGAAGAGCACAACAUGCAAGCACAAUAUUAUUUUGCGUUGCUAUCAGGUAGUUCUGCAUUGGACCUUCGAGUAUUGGAAAUCGCUUCUUAAGAACUCCAAAUGUACGCUCAAUAAUAUUCCUAACUGAUGCAUGUCGCCUAUUGAACAGCGCUUUAGCUGCUCGCUCAUGAGGUGUGCCCCGUGCACCCCUAAACGGAGCCAUAAACCCCGGCAUAUUUCUGUAGGCAGCAUCUACUGCAUAAUAUUUUCCUGUUGAUUUAAUGACAGGGUUCAUGUUAUUGCCCCUACUCAUUUAUUACGGAAACAAAUGCUGUAAAUAAGAACCAAAUACAAAAGAGACUAUUUCCUACUGCCUUGUAUUAUAAAAGUAGUUCGUCACCAGACAUAUUCUAAUUCGUUACCAGACAGCAUCUAAAAAGGCAUUUCAAUUAAAUUACCUUGCGGUGGCAUUGGAAAUCCUGAGCCCGGAUCAAGCAAGGUCUCUUGGAGAAUUCUGGCAUCAUGAGCACUACCCUCCCAGCCGACCCGAACAUAGACAAACCGCAUAUCAUGAUCGCAGGCAGCAAGUAUAUUCUGGGAUAAGUCGCCAUGCCGAUUUCUGAACCUCUCUCUUACCUCUGCUCUGCACCAAGCGGAUACGUGGGUCCCAUCUAAAGCUCCCACACAAUCCUAUAUAAGUGAAAUAAGUUUGGCUAUGAGUUUCACAUGCUCGCAGAAACCUACAUGAGAAGCACUAGUCCAACUAAACAUGAGAUACAUACUCGGAACCACGGCAUGAGCAAACCAUUGUUCAAGAUCCGAGGAUGCGUGUCAUCGACGUUUCUUGGCCUAACGAGAUCACGACCUAGCCGAACCAAAGCUCGUAAGACACGACGAACGUGUCGAUCAAUCGUCUCAGUUGAGUGCUGGAACCGCUCGGCUAACACCCGGUGCCGCUCAUCAUGGCUCAGGCACAUUAGGGUUAAAGCAACGGAUUCAUGUACCCCCACUCUUUGAGAAGGAUAUGCAUGCCAGUAACCCCGAUUAAGCAAUAAAUCGCACAACAAAAGGAAUUGAGGAACAUCCAAGCGCAUAUUCUGAAUAAUUCGGUCUUCAUGUCCGUUAAUAAUCUCAAUCGUGUAAUCUCUCCCUGACAGCGCGCUAUCUCGUACUCUUCGUCUUCUUGGGACCUGCUGAUGUGUAUCCUGGAAAAAGAACAUGAAACCCAAUAAUACGACGUACAUAAGGAUGUUGUCGAGCUCCUCAUCAUCUAGCUCGUCAUCCAGUUGACCUCCUUGAAUGUGCCCAUCGUUGUCCAUCUUCGCACAGCAACAACUCUGAACUCUGAAAUUGGCCAAGUGAUUGAAGCUCAUUAAACCCUAUUCUAGUAGUAGAAGUGAAAUAUUAUCAACCAAGAAAUAAUAACCUCAAUUGAUACAAAUUCCAAGAAAUAAUUAUAAUGAAACAAACAUCCAAGAAUUAUGUAUGUGUAAUAACACGAAAACAUUAGGUUGAUAUCCUCAAUAUAAUGCAGAAACGGUGUAAAGAAAUGAAUACUUAAAGAGGAAAUCCGCACAUAAUUCCCUGAAUGGCAACUCACAACCUCAUUGAAAGGUUGAUAUCCACGUAAACCAAUUGAGUCAAUUGGGGAAAUCCCCAACAAAUUCUACUAAAUAAGUGCAACCCAUUAUUAUAAACAGUCACAAAUAAAUUAAUAGCAACAUCCUGAAUAUGAAGAAAAAAAUAGGCAAAACUCUAUGCCUAAAAUAACCUGAAAUAUUCAAACCCAUAGAUUAAACAAGUGAAAUAAUUAAACAAGUUCAACGAUUUAUUACAAAGUGUCAAAAGUGCAAUAAGUAAAUCAACCAAAUAACAGGUUGAUUUUAUAUAUUAAGUUCACUUAAUAAUUAUAAACACUCACAGGCACAUUUGGGGAAUGCCAAUAAUAUAACGCAACAAAAAAUGUCAACUAUCCUUGUACACAGGUGAAAUAAUUAAACAAGUUCAUAAAUUUCAUAUAAAGACUCACAAGUUGAAUAAGUAAAUAUCGUACAGUGUGUAGCAAACAAGUUAAAAAAAUUAUUUUGAAAAUAACUGAAUAAGGAGUUUAAAUUAGCAGACAUUAACCUAGCUAUCUGAGAAAAUAACUGUGAGUAAUUAAUACUAGAAAACACGAAAAAGUGAAAAAAUUUAUAUGCGGCCUAUGAGUACACAAAAUAUUAGCCAUUGCACUUUUACGGCGCCACAAUGGAAGAAAAUUGUGAAAUUGGCCAAGGAUUAAUGUGAUAACAGAAAAACCCACAAAGAAUAGAUAUUAAAUGAUGCCAAUAAAAUUAAUUUAGGAACAUGGCUGCAACCAAUAUAUACGGCAUUGCACUAUUUCCUUACAACCAAUACUGAGAAGCACUACUGCAACCAAUAUUGAGAAGCACACUCAAAUUAUUUAACACACGAUGGUCCCUGUACAUGCAGAUGGUAUUCAGAAAUAACCUGAACCAGCUCCAAAUGUUAAAAAAUAUACAAACAAAGAUGACCAUCGGCUCACAAAAAAAUGUAGCGGCAACUCCUGUCACACAAAAUGAAUAUCCUUGCACCAUUCCCAACAAAUAAUAUCAUUUAAACAAUUCAACCAACAUUUAUAAACGCAACCACAUGCACUUAUCCGAAAUUGUUGUAACCUCAACUUCAUCGCACAAGAAAAAAAAAAAA
rnacentral:lncRNA from 1 species